GCUGGGGAGCAACGGGGCACUGUGUGCAGCCCCUCCUGGGCUCCGCUCCGUCCCCUCUGCACGUCAUCUCUUUGCCACAUAUGCAGAUGCCUCAAUGAGCUCAGACUCAGAACCUUGCAGGGUGUCAAUCAGGGGGUGGUGGAGCUGGGAGUGGAAGCGCUCCGCAGCUCUGCUGAUGUUUGUUGCACAGCACAGAGCUGUCUCGUCCCACACAGCUCCUGGAGGUCCGGGCACGUGCUCCAGGUGAGCAAAUUAGGGAAGGAGGUGGUUCUGCCAAUGGUCCAUCCUGGCUGGAAGGAGAGCACACAAAAGCUCGUCCUGCCCGUGCGCAUCGCUAGGUGAUGCUCAGCGCACCCCCAGCUCGGUGUCCAGGUGGUGCCUGCAGAUGUUGUCACUGCUGGUGCUGGUCCUCCUGGUGAGGACAGCCGCACACGCCAGCUGCACUCAUCCUCUCCCCACGCUGCCUGGCAAGCCAUGGGAUGCUCCCUGGGGUGGCCUGGACUCGUUCUGCAGACCCAGUGUCUCUGGAGGGGUUACUUGGGGUUGAGCUUCAAGCCAGCGGAGUAUGGGCUCUUCCAUCAGUUGCCGCUCAAACACAAAGAGCCCCUCCUUCCCACCGGAGCUCUGUGCCCCAUUUACCUGCCCUGUUCCAGGCUGGGAGCUGGAGAAUGGAUGCCAGCACCGAAGCCUGUGGGAAGCAGCAGGAAGCUGAAGAGUGCAAUGUAUCCCACCUGGCAAAGGGCUUCUGCUCCAUCCCUCCUGCUCUGCUGCUACCGAGAUGGUGGUUACAUCACUGCUGCUUCCUGCAGCUCCCGUGUUUCAGCAGCUCUCAGAGGGCAUGAUAGCAAAUCACCCUGGGAGCCGUCUGUGAUAAAAAGUGCAAUACAAACAGAUAAUAUCAUCAUACUCCACUAUUAACAGGCUUAAAUCCCAAGGAUGGGGAGAAGUUCCUGUGGAGAGCAAGCUAUCUCUCAACCACUUCUGCUGCAAUUUAAAAGCACUCCCCAGCCUGGCAAGGCUAAUUUCACAUCUCUUCUGCUCUGGGUUAUCGAUCUGGGUUUCUCCCUGUGUGAAGCCUGAGCCCUCCGUGACUGAUGAUGUUCACUGGGGGGGUUCUGGUUCUCACUGCCCCUAUGGGGCGGGAUGGAGGUGCCCAGCUGUGUCCCACUGUUGGGUCUGUGCCUCACUCACCUCAUCUCCCAUCCAUUCGUGGGUCUCUGCAGCUACUCGGGGGGGUGAUGUAAGCUGUCCCUUUGUGAUGGGACAGAUGAUGCCAGCAGUAAUGCCCACAGCCUCGCAGGGAGGAAUAGCUCCUGGGCUGCACCUCAUGGAGCAGAUGUUGUGGUCUUUGACUGUUCUGUAUGGAGGAGUGUCAUGGGUGAGGGACCCGUAAGGAUCCUGGAGUCCAACUCCUGAAUGGAUGGAGGGAGAGAAGAGUUAUCCUGACAGGGGGACUGCAGGAGGACUGAGGAGCUGCAGCUGCUGCUAUGGCCCCGUGUUGCCAUCAGCCCCACCACUCGCUCAGGGCACGAGCUGGGCCCCAGUUCACACCCCACUUGUUUCCAACUGCUUUGAAGUCCCUGCCUUUCUCUUUAUCACUCCUUCCACGGUGGGGGCUUUUCCCCCACUCAGUGUUGUUUCUCUGCUCAUCUCCGGUGCAGACAAGGCAGGAAACGUAUUCUCAAUAUAUUAAUUAGAACUUCUUUGCAGCAGAACAUCUGCAUGGGGAGCGAUAGAUAGAUCACCGAAGUGUGUGCGCGCGUGUGCGUGCGGUGCAGGCUUCCAGAUAACGCAUUGCUUUGCAUAAUGUAUUCCAGCCAGCGCAGCAAUAAUUUCCAUAGCCUGUGAUCUUCAAGUACGCGAUUAUAAAUCUGCGGCCCGGCUCCACGUGACCCAGCCAUUAGAUUACUGCCAGAUAAACCUCCCGGAGCUGUAGGAGGUUUGGGUCUCCAUCAGCUCUGCCUCAAUGGGCUCUGUGGGCUGAGACCAAACGCUCGGGUUGGUUCCAUCCCGCCGUGCCAAAGCCAUUGGUCUGCUCAGGUGUUCGUCACUCUCGGCUGUCUGGGGAGAGGACGGUCUUUGCCAGUGGUGCUAUUCAGUUUCCUGGUUGUACACUUCGUGUAGGUUUAGCUUGAAAGAUAAUAAGAUAAAAAAACAGAGACAUCCCAGUCAAUAAGAGGAAACCUCAGAGGCUUUUUCCAUCUUGCAUCUGUCAUACUUUGUUGAUAUUUUAGCUGCAGAGCACUUGACAGCUGGUUGUAAUACUCAUUUCCUCCUUUGAGAGAAUUAAAUGACAAACAUUUCAUUUAUCCCAAGGAGGAUUCCCCAAGUGACCCGUGGAAGAGGCCCCUUUAUAGCAGCUGGACCGAAGUGGGAGGGACUCAGAGCCCCCUCCACCUGGGACUGAUAAGUGAUUUUGUCCACUUUCCAUCCCCGUUACCUCUUUUCAUCCAUACACCACCUCCGUGCUGUCCAUCCUGGUCACUGAGGGCCACAACCCUCCGCCGGCACCCAGUAACGUCCCAGAGCAGCCCCGCAUUGGGCACUGCUCCGCUGAGCAAUGGUACGAUUGGGAAUGGCAAUGGGAGCACUCCUUGGGACGCUGCUUCCCUGCCUGUUUAGCCCCUUAACGUCCUGACCUGCUAAUGGUUAAUGGCAUUAACCAACAUCAAGCAAAAGCUCCCUUACCUGUGCCAAGGGCAGGCUGCUGCUCAAAGCAGCACAGUAAUUAUGUAUAGCCCAAGUAAUUAUUUUUGUCACAUCUCCUGGCAGGAGACAACCAUUUGUGGGAUGGGUUUAGCUACCUCCAGCAACGCGCCUAUGUCUUAUUUACCCAGAACAAUGCGCUCAGCGUGAUUUUUUUUCCAUCUCCUUUUUCCUUCUACCAUCAUUUUCAGCCCACACCGCUUUUAAUUCAGCAAGGCAAAUCAAGAUUCGGAAGGGAGGCUGCAGAAAUCCUCCCAGCUCCCAUUCACUGAGCAGAAAACCCCUUUUCCCUGGGGUCUGUUGGCGUUGCCAGCAGUGCUGGCAGCAGGCUCUGCCCUUUCCUAAGGGGGGUUGGGUCUCAGGGGAGGAAUAACGCUAUGUUGGACGGCGGUUGUCAGCGUGUGGCUGUGUCUCUCCAUGGGAUGCUCUCGCAGUUUGCAGCCUCCGAGUCCCGCGUUCCUCUCUCCAGGCUGUGCUCAGCCAGCCCAGGGCCGCUCGGGGCAGCAGAGCAGGGCUCCCUGCUGCGGGGAUACGGGGGAAGGAGAGGCACGGAGUGACUCAUCACUGAGCCGCCUCCCCACUAUUCGCGUUUGCCUUUCGCUCUUUCCAGCCUUCAAAUAAAGGAGGAACUGAGAUGAUGUCAUUAAUCCUCAAUUUGGUAGGGUGGAUAUCUGGAUUCACGGCUGGAUUUCCAGUUUGUAAGCUUCACCCAGCUUACAGAUUUUGGAGCCGGAGAGUUUAAGUACCAACAGCUGUGCCCUAACCUAUCCUGCUUUGUUGCUUCCCCCACACACUGAAGCAGUUCUCUGCUUUUUCCCCUUCUCCCUUUGGUCUGAAACACGAGUGACCCUAACACAGCCCGUCUCCCAGGGGCAAUCAGACCAUCCCACAGCCAGUUCCCUGGGCUGCGCUUUCCUUUCUGUAGGCAUCUUGAAAAUGCAGCUUGGAGAUUCUGGCACGGUCUCCCAUGCUGGAUUUAGCAUCCCGUGCCUGCUGUGUUUGCUGUGGAAUUGCACAGCCUUGAAAGACAGACAUUAUUACUAUUUUGCAUGGGGACAGCCUAUGAGCUGUUUAAUACACGAGUGCUCACUCAAAGGUGUCCUUUCAUUUACUGCUGCCGCCAUCAGCAGCCUAUAAAAGUUGAGGGUGCCUCAGGGAAUUGUGUGAAUGUGCUCACCUCGGUGGUGAUCCCAGGUCUCUGCAUCACGUCAGAGCAUCACCAGUUCUCCCCACACUGUCUUUCUCCCUUCUCCUUCCUCCUCCUCUAAGCCUGCUUUGCUGUAACUAUUGCAAAGGAUUUAGUUGGGGGGACAGUGCUGUUCAAAGCCCUUUAAUUUGAGGGAUGCUCAUUCACUCUGCUCCAGCCUCAGGUCAGCUAAACAAAUACAUGCAAUCCUCCUCCACCUGUGGGUGAUUUUCCUUGGCCAGUAGUUAGGGACAGCUGAGGCUGGGUGGGGUGAGGGCUGAUUGCCUGGAAUGGGAGAGGGGACAGCUGGGGGUAUGUGCUGCAGGAGGGAGCCAGCUGGGGGGGGACGGGGGGGUUCAGCUGCAAGAAAUGAAGGGCUUUUGGGGCUGGGACUCAGGUGAAGCCCAAGCACACCCCACAGAAUGGCUGUUAUCCCUCCGGGUGCCCCACACACCCCCACACUGUGCCCUGUGAUAUUCCCCCAGGCAAUAUUAUGGGAUAUUCCACCGCAUUAGCAAGUCCAACUUGUUUUUACUGCCCAGUGUCUCUCUGUGCAAUAUUUCACUGUCUCACUGGCUAUUAUCCUGGCGGCACGAAGUCCCAUUGAAAUUCAUGGUGCAAGUUGCCCAUUUGUUUCCUUUGAGCUUUGCAGGGUUGUUCUGUGCAGCUUUAUGCAUAUCAUUUUUGCUAUGCAAAGCGCGGGUAACGAUUUUACCUGCUCUCUUUCAAAGCACUAGAUAAAGCCUGUCCCCAUGCCUUAGACUGAUCUUAGAAUAUUUGUUCUAGUGGUGGGGAAGGAUGAAUCAGAGCUCUUGGGGAGUGUGCAAUCCGAUGCUCUGUAAAUAAAAGAAAGUCAUGUUGCAUCUACGUGUCCCCGGGGCAGGCGUGUGCUCCCUGUCAACCUUUCUUGCUAGGGUUUGUCUUCAGGGAUGGCUCUGGCAAAGCCAAGUAGCUUCAUCUCAAUGACAGCCCUGGAGCAGAGUCGCUUGGUUUGGCCGAAGCCACUGAUGAGCUCGAACCAGCUCUGCCUUUUAAGGAACAGAUGAGGUCCCUCGUGCAUGACAAGGCAAAACUCCUUGAGCAAAGGGUCACCAGGAGUGUAGAACUGGAGGCACAGCAACAAAGGAAUGCUUUUGCUGUGAAGCCCUUCAGACCUGGGCUGGCUUGCCUCUAUCACCAUCCCACAAAAGGCUAAGCUUGGUGUACCAACGACACACCUUCAGCAUCCUAAAUGAGGCCCCCAGAUGAGCAGCCACACAUGAAAGCAAAGAGUCACAAUGUCUGUGCUGGGGUCUCUGCAUAAACCAAAGGGGCAGAGAGAUUUUUUUUCUCUGCAUCAGUGGUGUCUACAAGCCAAGAGUUGUUCACCUAGGAGAUUUGGGAGUAACACCAAACACACAUUGGAGAAUUUCUCGGUCUUUUCAUGGACAAUGCAUGUAUGAGAGGGAGGAAAAAGAAAAAAAGCCAACGCCUUAAAUAAGUUAUUCCUUGUGAAUAAUUCCCUCUGUUUACUUGCCUGGAGGUCUUCAGGUGUAAGGUGCUAUAUAAUCAGCACUACAUCACAUGCCAGGGUAUCCAGAGAGCCCAAAAGAAACCAUCACAGAGUUCAGCACCGGUGGGAUGCAUCCCCUGGGAGGACACCCAGCCUGUGCUGCCCUGAAUGCAGAGCCACAGGCGUGGAAUCCAUCAUGAGCUGUGGGGAUGCAGGCAGGGCAGGGCAACGGCAAUGAGCAUCACUGGAGUAGGACCCUCUCCCCCUGGGCCGUGGGCUGCCAGAACCCCCUGUCCUCAAUGUCGGUUCCUUCCACUGAUGUAAAAUUGACUUUUUGAAAGUUUCAAAGACAAAAAGGGAAAUCAGAACAAAUGGGAAUCCAUAAAAACACAUCCAGGCUGCCAAGUCUACAGCAGCCACAAUUUGCAAUGGAUGAGAUAUUAACACCCUGAAAAAUUGGGGUAAUGAUGUGCAGUAAUAUUUGUCAUCACCAAGGCUGAGUACGUUAAACAAAACCGUUCUGAAAUACAGCUUCUGCCCGAGCCUGGUAACUCCUUCCCAGAUGUAAAUAUCAGUGUUGUUUUCCAAGCGUUCCUUAAAUACCAUAAGGCUUUCCUCUACUUACAGCACUAACAGCCCGUAAAAUGUCAUUUUUUGUUUUCUAAUUAGUCUGAUGAUUUUUAGAUGGGAUUUGACAGCAACAGCUAAGAAGCAUCUCAGCCUGCAAAAAAUUCUCCCUGGGAUGGUAAGUCACCCGCAGCUGCACCACGGAACCACACGACAGCUCCUCUGCACAGCAAUGGGAUGGAAAUUCAGCUCUGCUCACCCCUGGGGCUGGGGAUGCCAACUGCUGUGGGGGUGCGGUGGGAAAGGGGUGCUGGCCAUCCCACAGGGAGCUUCUCCGUCGCUCAUGGCCCAUUUUGGAUGGGAGCACGGAGUUUGGCUCUCACCAUGGGUCCGUGCUGUAAUGGGGCUCACAUGCAGGGUUCGGGUACUCAUGAUUUCUAAGGGAUCUGGCUUGCCCAAGGUCACACCAUUCAGAAGCACCGAUGUCCUUCUCUAACUGAAUCCCUCCUGCACAGACAAAUGGAGCACUGCCCAGUCUGCUGUUGGCCAGCACUUCCCUUGCAGGUGAUGUUACAAAAGGCAGCAGAGGAGCUCUGUUCCCAUGCCUCCUCCACGUCACCGGGAGAAGCAGCCAAUGCUUUAUUAACCACCCUCUCCCUCCUUUACUGCUGGCUGAACUGGGUUAGGGCUUCUCAAACCUGCUGUGUCAGUCUUCUGCUGGUAGAGGGGAACAGCCAGCAUGUCUGUCCUGACCCCAGACACCUUUAUCACAGCAUCUGAGCAAGGCUACAUCUUUUUCUCCUUCCUGCCUUUAAUAAUAUUAUCAAUGUCUGGUUUGGAUUUUUACUAAAUAUAGGGCUAGAGGCUGGGGUGGUAUCACUUCCUCCCAGACAAAUUAGAACGGCCUGUUUAGAAGUACCUAUACUUACUUUUAUUUGCUUAUCUUGCAAGUUGUUUGAUUGCCCGCCACUGUUCCACCUCUGCUUGGCCUGGCAGCUUGUACUGGUGCUGCCUUAAAGCCCACCCCAAUCCAUGGGUGAGCCUGGAGAUUUGGGGCUGCUCUUCCAAAUCAGCCCCGGGUAGCUGAGCUGCAUGCUAGGGGAUGCAAAGAGCCUUUUGCAAAUCAUCCCUCCCUGCUGAGCUCCGUGGGUGAGGACCUGCAGUGGAACACAGCAUUGGUGGCAUCCUUGUCCCUUGCAGGUACUUCUCCCUCCAGCAGCCAGGAAGGGAAAUGGAACAGCUCGGUGAUGCUCAAGAGUGUUCAGCAAAGGCAGAGAAUGGACAGGACCUCUUAUCUCCAUCCUCCCAGGAAGGUGCCAGAACCCACGGUGCCCUCCUGCCUAUUUCAUCUCACUGCCUGCAACCUGCCCACCCACUUAUUCACUCCAAGCAAUUACGAGAGGAUCCUCUGACUUCAGGGCACGAGCCCAUGAGGCAUGCAAGAAAUGGGUUAUCCCUCCUCCAGGGACUCAACGAUCCUUAAGGGUACCUUCCAACUCAAGAUAUUCUAUGAUACUAUGAAUCAUGGAUGGAGGGUCCCCUUGCUUUAAGAAUGAGUCCAGUUGGUAGCAGGGAAGGGAACGAGGACAAGGAAGAGGAAAAGAAAAGGAGGAGAGAAAUGGGAAAGAGAAGAACCCCAGAGCAACCAGCUCACACAGAAACCAAGCCCUGCAGCCUCCCCAGCAGGCCAGAGGCCACGCCAGGGCUGUGGAGCAGCUGAUGAGCUCCUCCUGCCCCAGCCUCUCCACCACACAGGGCUUCCUCCUGCCUUUUGGUGAGUGCUUCCCCAGGGUGUGUGCCAUGCCAGGUUGCCAGCUGCUGUUUGGAGAGAGGCCACAGCCUGCCUGUUCGCCGGCUGUCUCCCAGUUCUAUUACUCCACGCUUCAGGCUUUUGGCUGCAUUGUUGUUGUUGUUGCUAUUAAGCUGAAAGGAGUGACAUUUCUUUCCCGCACCCACCUUCUCUGUCUCCGCUGCCACAUCCCUGCAGGGCUGCACAAAGGACUUGCUGGGUUUUGGGGACACCUUGGGAUGUCAUGAAGCACAGUGCUAGGAGAGAGGGAAAAGCACUUUUAUUCCAGGGGCAGACACACUUCAAUCACUCUGAAGUUUCAUGCUGUGCUGAUGAAAAAGCAUUAAAAGAGGCCCUGUGAGUACAGGAUGGCCAUCUCUGGGGCAGGACAGCGCAUGGGGAGGGCUGAACAUGGGGCACACUGGCUACAACCAGGGCUUGGGGAACCUGGGGUGCACCAGGAGAUGUGAGCAGGUGUUUUGCUGCAGCCUCGUUGCUGCCCCAGCUGCACCUGCCUGCAUAC
rnacentral:lncRNA from 1 species